GAUGAACGCUGGCGGCGUGCCUAAUACAUGCAAGUCGAGCGAACGGACGAGAAGCUUGCUUCUCUGAUGUUAGCGGCGGACGGGUGAGUAACACGUGGAUAACCUACCUAUAGGACUGGGAUAACUUCGGGAAACCGGAGCUAAUACCGGAUGAUAUUUUGAACCGCAUGGUUCAAUAGUGAAAGACGGUCUUGCUGUCACUUAUAGAUGGAUCCGCGCUGCAUUAGCUAGUUGGUAAGGUAACGGCUUACCAAGGCAACGAUGCAUAGCCGACCUGAGAGGGUGAUCGGCCACACUGGAACUGAGACACGGUCCAGACUCCUACGGGAGGCAGCAGUAGGGAAUCUUCCGCAAUGGGCGAAAGCCUGACGGAGCAACGCCGCGUGAGUGAUGAAGGUCUUCGGAUCGUAAAACUCUGUUAUUAGGGAAGAACAUAUGUGUAAGUAACUGUGCACGUCUUGACGGUACCUAAUCAGAAAGCCACGGCUAACUACGUG
rnacentral:rRNA from 1 species